GUGGAAAUAAGAGUUGGCUUGUGGUGUUCCGAGGACGAAAGUAAUUACUUCUCCGAUUGACUGCAAGUAUGUGCAGGUUGUAGAUGGGGGAGCAAUGAGUGAAAUAGAGAGGCAAUUGUACUGUGAAGGACUGGAGAAGACAAAGAUUAAUGAUGGAGGAACAGAGAUGGAUGGAACUUGCCUCAGAGGAAGAUGGAUAAAUGGAUUGGAGAGUGCAUAUGGAAGUCUUCCUGACAGGAGCUUCGAGACUCGGAGCGCGACAUUCACCCGCAUGUCGGGUAGCGGCGCGGGAACCUGGGCUGCGGGGAGAGAGAACUCCAACUAUCGCCUCCGCCAGCGAGUGGCACAGCGUUUGAAACUCCUGGAGCCGCCCUAGGCGACGGGUGGGAAGGAGAAGCCAGCCAGGCAUAAGUGGCAGAGACUGAAAUAAGGUGUUCGCACAGUGUGGCCCACCAACCCCGCCAGCCUCUUGGAAAGGUGGGGAACCAAAAGAAAGACAUAAAUCCUAAGUGUGGAAAAAAAAAAAAAACAACUCCCAAACCUAGGCUUUUAGCCCUUUAGUGCUAAUGCAAGACCUGG
rnacentral:lncRNA from 1 species